GACGAACGCUGGCGGCGUGCUUAACACAUGCAAGUCGAACGGUGAAGCGCCUUCCUUUUUGGUGGGUGUGGAUGAGUGGCGAACGGGUGAGUAACACGUGAGUAACCUGCCCCCUUCUUCUGGAUAACCGCAUGAAAGUGUGGCUAAUACGGGAUAUUCUGGGUCUGUCGCAUGAUGGGUCUGGGAAAGAUAUUGUUUCGGUGGGGGAUGGGCUCGCGGCCUAUCAGCUUGUUGGUGGGGUGAUGGCCUACCAAGGCGGUGACGGGUAGCCGGCCUGAGAGGGUGGCCGGUCACACUGGGGCUGAGACACGGCCCAGACUCCUACGGGAGGCAGCAGUGGGGAAUAUUGCACAAUGGGCGCAAGCCUGAUGCAGCGACGCCGCGUGAGGGAUGGAGGCCUUCGGGUUGUGAACCUCUUUCGCCAGUGAAGCAGGCCUGCCUCGUUUGUGGGUGGGUUGACGGUAGCUGGAUAAGAAGCGCCGGCUAACUACGUG
rnacentral:rRNA from 1 species